CAUAAUUAUGAUUUUUUUUUUUAGGUUAUCUGGGAUAAUUCAUUUUCCACUUAUCUUGGUUAAUUAACAGUAUACUGUAAUUUGCAGAUAAUUUUUAUUUUAAAAUAUAAAAUAAAAACAUGAAAUAUAAUUGAGAAAUGGCCAUGUUAGCAAAGCACCAUAAAGUGAGGUAUGCUGUAACAGUAUAAAUACAGUAGACUGAACUCACCAGUUCAGUUUAGUUCCAGCUACCUAAGUGGAUACAUAUUUAUAUUUUUCUGAAAUGACAUCAAGAUACUGUAAGCAUCCAGCAGACAGAUUUUGUUAUGUCUGUGCCCAAUUUAACAAGAUAAGUGAAAAAUUUUCAUGGAAACAUCUGCUAAAAUGUGUGAGACUACAAGGCAUAUUUCAACUUGUCUGUUGGGGAUCAAGGCAAACCCUGAAAAUUUCCACAAAAGCAAAGCUUGUUGAGAGUAAUAGCCAUUUAUAUUUUUUAGAUAUAAGCAAUCAGGAAAUAAUCACUUACAAAACCCAGGAACAAAAAUGCUAUUACAUAGUAUAAUAAUAUCUAUUUAAUCCAAAUUAUAUAACACUUCAAGAAAUAUAGUAGGUCAGGAAUAGCUUG
rnacentral:lncRNA from 1 species